UAGAGUUUGAUCCUGGCUCAGAUUGAACGCUGGCGGCAGGCCUAACACAUGCAAGUCGAACGGUAACAGGAAGCAGCUUGCUGCUUCGCUGACGAGUGGCGGACGGGUGAGUAAUGUCUGGGAAACUGCCCGGUGGAGGGGGAUAACUACUGGAAACGGUAGCUAAUACCGCAUAACGUCGCAAGACCAAAGAGGGGGACCUUCGGGCCUCUUGCCACCGGAUGUGCCCAGAUGGGAUUAGCUUGUUGGUGAGGUAACGGCUCACCAAGGCGACGAUCCCUAGCUGGUCUGAGAGGAUGACCAGCCACACUGGAACUGAGACACGGUCCAGACUCCUACGGGAGGCAGCAGUGGGGAAUAUUGCACAAUGGGCGCAAGCCUGAUGCAGCCAUGCCGCGUGUAUGAAGAAGGCCUUCGGGUUGUAAAGUACUUUCAGCGGGGAGGAAGGGAUUGUGGUUAAUAACCGCAGUCAUUGACGUUACCCGCAGAAGAAGCACCGGCUAACUCCGUGCCAGCAGCCGCGGUAAUACGGAGGGUGCAAGCGUUAAUCGGAAUUACUGGGCGUAAAGCGCACGCAGGCGGUCUGUCAAGUCGGAUGUGAAAUCCCCGGGCUCAACCUGGGAACUGCAUUCGAAACUGGCAGGCUUGAGUCUCGUAGAGGGGGGUGGAAUUCCAGGUGUAGCGGUGAAAUGCGUAGAGAUCUGGAGGAAUACCGGUGGCGAAGGCGGCCCCCUGGACGAAGACUGACGCUCAGGUGCGAAAGCGUGGGGAGCAAACAGGAUUAGAUCCCUGGUAGUCCACGCCGUAAACGAUGUCUACUUGGAGGUUGUGCCCCUGAGGCGUGGCUUCCGGAGCUAACGCGUUAAGUAGACCGCCUGGGGAGUACGGCCGCAAGGUUAAAACUCAAAUGAAUUGACGGGGGCCCGCACAAGCGGUGGAGCAUGUGGUUUAAUUCGAUGCAACGCGAAGAACCUUACCUGGUCUUGACAUCCACGGAAGACUGCAGAGAUGCGGUUGUGCCUUCGGGAGCCGUGAGACAGGUGCUGCAUGGCUGUCGUCAGCUCGUGUUGUGAAAUGUUGGGUUAAGUCCCGCAACGAGCGCAACCCUUAUCCUUUGUUGCCAGCGGUUAGGCCGGGAACUCAAAGGAGACUGCCAGUGAUAAACUGGAGGAAGGUGGGGAUGACGUCAAGUCAUCAUGGCCCUUACGACCAGGGCUACACACGUGCUACAAUGGCAUAUACAAAGAGAAGCGACCUCGCGAGAGCAAGCGGACCUCAUAAAGUAUGUCGUAGUCCGGAUUGGAGUCUGCAACUCGACUCCAUGAAGUCGGAAUCGCUAGUAAUCGUGGAUCAGAAUGCCACGGUGAAUACGUUCCCGGGCCUUGUACACACCGCCCGUCACACCAUGGGAGUGGGUUGCAAAAGAAGUAGGUAGCUUAACCUUCGGGAGGGCGCUUACCACUUUGUGAUUCAUGACUGGGGUGAAGUCGUAACAAGGUAACCGUAA
rnacentral:rRNA from 1 species